AGUGAACGCUGGCGGUAGGCCUAACACAUGCAAGUCGAACGGCAGCACAGUAAGAGCUUGCCCUUACGGGUGGCGAGUGGCGGACGGGUGAGGAAUACAUCGGCAUCUACUUUUUCGUGGGGGACAACGUAGGGAAACUUAUGCUAAUACCGCAUACGACCUACGGGUGAAAGCAGGGGUUCUUCGGACCUUGCGCGAUUGAAUGAGCCGAUGUCGCAUUAGCUAGUUGGCUGGGUAAAGGCCCACCAAGGCGACGAUCCGUAGCUGAUCUGAGAGGAUGAUCAGCCACACUGGAACUGAGACACGGUCCAGACUCCUACGGGAGGCAGCAGUGGGGAAUAUUGGACAAUGGGCGCAAGCCUGAUCCAGCCAUGCCGCGUGGGUGAAGAAGGCCUUCGGGUUGUAAAGCCCUUUUGUUGGGAAAGAAAAGCAGCAGGUUAAUACCCCGCUGUUCUGACGGUACCCAAAGAAUAAGCACCGGCUAACUUCGUG
rnacentral:rRNA from 1 species